UACGUAGGGGGCAAGCGUUGUCCGGAUUUAUUGGGCGUAAAGAGCGUGUAGGCGGCCAGGGAGGUCCGUUGUGAAAACUCGAGGCUCAACCUCGAGACGCCGAUGGAAACCCCCUGGCUAGCAGUCCGGAAGAGGAGAGUGGAAUUCUGGUGUAGCGGUCGAAAUGCGCAGAUAUCAGGAGGAACACCAAUGGCGAAGGCAGCUCGCUGGGACGGUACUGACGCUGAGACGCGAAAGCGUGGGGAGCAAACAGG
rnacentral:rRNA from 1 species